GACGAACGCUGGCGGCGUGCCUAAUACAUGCAAGUAGAACGCUGAAGGAGGAGCUUGCUUCUCUGGAUGAGUUGCGAACGGGUGAGUAACGCGUAGGUAACCUGCCUGGUAGCGGGGGAUAACUAUUGGAAACGAUAGCUAAUACCGCAUAAGAGUAGAUGUUGCAUGACAUUUGCUUAAAAGGUGCAAUUGCAUCACUACCAGAUGGACCUGCGUUGUAUUAGCUAGUUGGUGAGGUAACGGCUCACCAAGGCAACGAUACAUAGCCGACCUGAGAGGGUGAUCGGCCACACUGGGACUGAGACACGGCCCAGACUCCUACGGGAGGCAGCAGUAGGGAAUCUUCGGCAAUGGACGGAAGUCUGACCGAGCAACGCCGCGUGAGUGAAGAAAGGUUUUCGGAUCGUAAAGCUCUGUGUAAAGAGAAAGAAACGAGUGUGAGAAGAGGAAAAGUUCCACC
rnacentral:rRNA from 1 species